AGAGAGAUAGAGAGAUUUGAGCUUGCUCGUGCGUAUUUAUGAGUGUAAUGUGUAUAUUAUUAAAUAUAUCCGUGAGCAUCUGGGAAUCUUUGUAUCACAAAAAGAAACUUCGACGCAAGUUUAUAAUAGAUGAUCAAAACUGAAAAAAAAUGUAAACUUAAAAACAGACUGAUUCCACACAAUGAAAAUGGAAUUUGUACAAGAAUGAUAGAAAGAAAAAGCAGUGAGUGAGAGAGGGACAAAAUGACUGAAGUAAAAGAUGAGUGAGGUAUAGGAAAGAGAAAAAAAAAAAUGAAGAAAGAGAUUGCAACACAUAUGGAGAGAAGAACUGAGAUUUAAUGAAUACUAUACGAUGAAAGAGGAAUGAAAGAGAGAAAAAUCACCCUUCGCCUCCUAUGUCCGUUUAGAAAUACGGAGGUAUACGCACAUAAGCACGAGCGCUUGCACAUACAGACAUACACAAUCACACACGCGUUCACAUGUAUCUACACACAACCAUGCUGAUAUACUAACAGAAAUAUAGCUAGCCCACACAGAGUUUUACACUUCAGAUCUACCUAUAGACAUCUGCGAAGCUAAAGCGUCAGAUUCCUUCUCGAUCUAACGUCGAUCGAUAUUAUAGUGUGUUCGUUCUUGUUGUUGCCGUAAUUGUGGAGUGUCUCGCUAAGUCAUCUUGGUGUAGCAUAAAGCAUUAGUAAACUAAGUCUCUUCUAGUGGGGUGGAUGCAAUUUGAACGUUUUUUUAGCUGUGAGUUAAAAGCGUCCUCUAACCUUUGUUUUUGCUGUUGUUAUUACUGACGUGACUGUGUGUUGCUCUUGUGAUAUUUUUCAAAUUUUGUAGCGAUUUCUGCUUUUAUUUCAUAGUUGAGUUAGCACCUUAACACACCACUUAUUAACGUGGGCCGAUAUUACUAUAAAUAUACAUAUAUAAAUUAAAUAUAUAUAUAUAUAUAUAUAUAUAUAUAUAUAUAUAUAUGUGUAUGUAUAUAUGCAUGUAUGCAUGUAUGUAGGUAUGUAGGUAAAUAUGUAUGUAUAAAGCAGCAACAACAACAAAGAUAAAUUCUAAAAUGCAACGAAUAAUAAACAGAGGUUAAAAUAAAUCAGGGAAAGAAAGAAAUGCAUAUGUACUAAAUAUUGAUUUCUAGCAUAGGUAUAUUUUUUGGAAUGUGAUUUUUUUUUUAAAAAAAAGGUGUGUAAUACAUCAUAUUCCUAAAAUUAAUAUAAACAAAAAAUAACAGGGUACCAUUUUUUAACAUUUUGUUUUUGUUUAGAAAAUAGGAAUACGUAAGAUAUAAAGCAUAAAACGUGCGCUUUUGUUAUUUUAAAAUAAGUACAAUUUUAUGCGUCUGACUAUCUAUCUAUCUAUCUAUCUUAUUAUCUGUCUAUCGAUCUAUCUAACUGUAUACCUAUAAGCGUGUUCCUCUAUAGAUCAUUCGAUCAACGCACACACACACAAAAACACACACAUAUAUAUAUGUUAAGUAAAUUUAAAUGUCUCUGUGUAUUUUCAUAUAAUUGUUUAACGAAUACGCACUUCGGAGUCUUAUUAUUGACUUAAAUUAAAUUGAAAAAGAAAAGUAUAAAUAUAACAUGCUUUGUAGUGCGGUAACUACAAACUAUAAAUGAACUACAAAGAAGGAAAUAAACAUCUACAGCGGAAUGCCAGCUGUCCAUAUUUUUCAGCCGAUCUCCAGGAAUAAUACUGUCGGAUAAAAGGGAAAAGCACAUAGAAACGAUAAAGAAAUCAUCAACAGGGGGAAAAAAAAAGUAAAAGGAAAGAGAGAGAAAGAAAGAAAAUUCAACACUAGCAGACAUACAGAAAAAAAAAAUACAUUCACCACACGUGUGUAGAGCUAACGUACAAAUCUAUACUACAACCGACAUCAGUUUAUACACUACAGAUUCUAUUAAUGAAGUAGGAGUGUAAAGGUAAGUCUACCUACCUUAAAUGUCUUUCUCUAAAAACUUCGAAAUUGUUAUAUAAUUGUAUAUAAAAGAAUGCAAAUUUUAUUUCUACCCCAUUAUUACGUAUCUUGUAAAAUUGUUUGGGAUAUAGAUACGCAUGAAUAUAGAAAUGUAUAUAUAUAUAUAUAUAUACAUAUACACAUACACACAUAUAUAUGUAUACAUACAUAUAUAUAUAUAUAUAUAUAUAUAUAUAUAUAUAUGUGUGUGUGUGUGUGUGUGUGUGUGUGUGUGUGUGUGUGUGUAUGUAUGUGUAUGUAUAUAUAUAUACACCUAUAUAUAUAUAUAUGUGUGUGUGUGUAUGCAUAACUUUUUUGCCAUAUCUUAUACUUGAUUCAACAUCAAAGCUUUUAAGGAUUUAGCCGAAUAAAUCGCCCCCAAAACUUGUUUUUUUUUUACUUUGUUAUUUUUAUAAAAUGUGAUUAUUAUUCUAUGUGUCUCAUUGCAGGAAAUGCAAAGAUGUGGGGAUGUAAAC
rnacentral:lncRNA from 1 species